rnacentral:rRNA from 1 species
CCUACGUGAGGCAGCAGUGAGGAAUAUUGGUCAAUGGGCGCGAGCCUGAACCAGCCAAGUAGCGUGAAGGAUGACUGCCCUACGGGGUGUAAACUUCUUUUAUAAAGGAAUAAAGUGAGGCACGUGUGCCUUUUUGUAUGUACUUUAUGAAUAAGGAUCGGCUAACUCCGUGCCAGCAGCCGCGGUAAUACGGAGGAUCCGAUCGUUAUACGGAGUUAUUGGGUUUAAAGGGAGCGUAGUUGGGUUGUUAAUUCCGUUGUGAAAGUUUGCCGCUCAACCGUAAAAUUGCAAUUGAUACUGGCAGUCUUGAGUACAGUUGAGGUAGGCUGAAUUCGUGGUGUACCGG